AUGAAGUAGUAAGUAUUGGUGCAAACACAAUAAUAAUGGAAAUAAUAUAAAGAAAAAUUGAAUAAAAUAUUUCUAAGUAUUAUUUAUUUGAGAAAAGAUACACAACACUACUUGGACUGAAACGUGACAUUCAUUCUCUUUAAGGAAAUUCAAGCGCUCAAUUGGCUAAUCUUUGUAACCAGUGCAAAUCUUCUCUAACUUACCUCCUCCCUUCACUUCCUUCUUGCACACGUAUCUAAUCCAAUAUCUACUCCAAUAAAUUUCAACUCAUUAAUCACCACAUUUAGAAAAAUAUAAGAGUCUUUCUUAUUUUCAAUGUGAGAUUAAAUAUUUUACUAACUCUUAUCUUCCAUUUUAACUUUCAUUUCUAUGUGGGUUCUAAUUAGCUCAACUUGUAAAGUUUUUUAUGGUUGUAUAAGAGAUCUGGGAUUAAAUCCCCGCCUACACCAAAAACUGAUUGGUGUCUUGGUCUGAUGAUAAAAAGUUCUCUCUAAAAAAAAAAAUCAUAUCUAUAUAUUCAUAUUGUCAUAUUUAUCCAUUUUAAUUAUAUAAUAUUAUUAAAGAAAAAUGCCAUAUCUACAACAUUUUUUUAACACCUUCAACAAAUUUUAUAUAGCAAGUUGUUACUUGCUAUUACUAGUAAGCAAAAAAAUUACUCCAAUUUUAAUGGUGAAUUCAAAUUAAAAACUUGUAACAACCCGCCAUAUAAGGCUGUGUUUGUUUCGUGUAAAAUGUUUUCCGGAAAAUACAUAUUUUCCGGAAAUGCUAUUUUCCGGAAAAUGAAAAUAUUUUUAAGUGUUUGGUUGAAUUAUGAAAAUUGUUGUGGAAAAUUGAGUUCAUGUGUUUGGUUCUAUUAGGAAAAUGCUAUUUUCCUACCAUUUUUUCAUUCCGGCGACAACAACGCAACAACAACAACAACAACAACAACAAGAUUCCGGCGACAACAACAAUAAUCAAACUUUAAACAAACAAAAGUCUGGGUCUGGGUCGAACACUUUGGGCUUUGGGUUCGUGGGUCGCCGGCAGAGGAGAGCUCGAGCGGAGGAGAGAUCGCGGGCAGAGGCGAGCUCAAGCGGAGGCGAGAUCGAGCGAAGGCGACGCGGUGCUUGGUGUGGAUCGGAGCUCGGAUCGAAGGCGAUCGCCGGCGAUCAAAGGCGAGAUCGAGCGAAGGCGACGAGCUCGAGCGAAGGCGACGCAGUGCUUGGUGUGGAUCGGAGCUCAGAUCGAAGGCGAGAUCAAGCGAAGGCGAUGCAGUGCUUGGUGUGGAUCGGAGCUCGAAUCGAAGGCGAUCGCCGGAGAGUAG
rnacentral:sRNA from 1 species